rnacentral:rRNA from 1 species
UCGGGGAGAAAGUUUAUUGAUAGUACUCGAUGAAUAAGGGGUUGCUAAACUCGUGCCAGCAGCAGCGGUAAUACGAGUGCCCCAAGCGUUAUCCGGAAUUACUGGGCGUAAAGGGUGUGUAGGUGGUUGUGUUAGUCUCACGUUAAAUUCUUCGGCUUAACCGGGGGCAUGCGAGGGAAACGGCACGACUAGAGGAUAUAAGGGGUCUGUGGAACUCAUGGAGUAGGGGUGAAAUCCGUUGAUAUCAU